GUGGUUAUCAGGGGAGAGCCAUCAGAUCAGCCAGAGACCCACCCGUAGUGGGGACAUGGGGACUUUGGUAUGUCCCAUCCUGGCCGCUGUCUUCACCAAUACGGAGAAGGGGCAUUGGUUCUUACCUGAGAUGCACCUUCUCGUUCGGUGAAGACAGCGGCCAGUCCCACCCUUUUCCUUGUCUGAUCUGUCUCUUGCCUUUCUCCUACUUACCUUUUUUUCUCGACGUGUCGAGUCUGAUUCAUCGUCUUCGCCAAAAGCUGGGUUCCCCGGCAACAGAGGCGGGACUUAACAACUUUGUCAGGCUCAGUCCACCAAUCUGAACGGAGAGCAUCACCCAUCCUGGCCGCUGUCUUCACCGAACGAGAAGGUGCAUCUCAGAACUGCCAGGUUUCCAGAUGUCCAGAAAUGCCCGUGGGCCAGGAUUUAAGUUUAAAGAUGUUCCUGAUUUGUGAUGUAUUUUGGCUUCUCUAGAUUGUUCAGACAAAAACUGGAAGACUGGAAGUAGAUCUGAAGAGAGCGAGGGGCCAGAGUUAUAUGAAGACAAUGGAAAUAUCAAAACUUCUGGCAAAAAAGAGGAGCUGGAACUAAAAAUUCAGGAGCUUACAAAUAAAAAUAUACAAUUGGCCAAAGAAAAAGAGAAACUUUGCGAAGGGUAUAAAGAAAAGCUGAGGCAAAAGAGUUCAGAUGAGCCUGGGCGGUUAGACAAACUCAGAAAAGAUAAUGAGAGUCUCAGCUGCUAGGUUAUUUUCCUAUGGGAAAAUAAUGACCUUAAAGAAGAAUGUUAUAGGAAAAAUACUUCAAAUGAGCCUGGGCAGCUGGACAAACUCAGCUGUCACCAAAGAUCUAGUUGAAGAAAUGCAUUUAAGCAUUAGUUUAGAAAUUCGAUCAGUCAGCAAUGAGCAAUGGGUUUACGUCAACUCCCCGAACUCCGGGCCCUCAAGCUGAACUGAAGACUCUACUAUUCCAUCGUGCGGGACUAGCCUAAGAAAUAUGUUUUUAAGGAAUACUUUAGUAUAAUUUUAAAUGGGUUUUAAAUCGUUCUUUGACCGUUUUAGUUGAUUAGGCCAUUAAAUAUUUGGUUUUAAUUUGAUUUUAUAUUGUUAUUUAUAUCUGUUAUUUUAAUAUGGCUGUAAACCGCCCUGAGUCCUUCGGGAGAAGGGCGGUAUAAAAAUUGAAUUAUAAAUAAAAAAAUAAAAAAAAUAAAAAAUAAAAAUUAUAAAACAACAA